rnacentral:miRNA from 14 species
GCCUUCUUGGAGGAAGUGUGUCACUGGGGAUGGGCUUUGAGGUUUCAGAAGCUCAAGUCAGGUCUAGUGGCUCACAGUCUCUUCCUUCUGCCUGACAAUC